rnacentral:lncRNA from 1 species
AUGUCCAAUCCUUAAUGAUCGAAUGAAUAAAAAAAAAACUAAAACAAGGCUUUAAAUAGUUAACCCUAAAUAAGGAAAUAAAAUUAAAGUUCAGACUUUCUUCGAAAUAGAUAACGGCGCUCGUGACGGCCUAUCAGGAGUUUGACGGCCUAUCACGAACGUCGUCAGCUUCUCUGCAAGUUUAGCUUCUGCUGCCUAAGGUUGACGAUGACGUUACUCCUUAUCAUCAUCUUGACGACGUGUCAUGAAUGUCAUCACAAAACUUCCUACAACUUUCAUCUUCUGUUUAAGGUUGACGGCAUCCUUGACAGCCUAUCACCAGGCUGACGACGUGUUAUGGAUAUCGUCAGCCACAGUUUGUUCUUUAUUUGCUUCCGAUUUCAUGCUUUUUGCUUCCUUUAUUUGUGGUUCCCCUUCUUCUCUAUUUAUACUGGAAAAUCAAAGUAAACUAAUCAAAAACGACUAAAGUUGCUCAAGACUUUGCAAUUAUUUAGAGUUAAAAGUUGUAAAUGUAUUAGCAUGGGCUCACACAUCAACACCCUCAACUUAAACAAUUGGUUGUCCUCAAGCAACCAGAACAUAACCAAGAGUAUACAAAGUACAAGUUGGCAGCUAACUACUCAUAUCAGUUCAGAAUAUAUGCACCAUCUCCAAGGUCAGUCAAAUUAAGAGAAACUAUGUGUAUUAUUGAAAACACCCAUGCAACUCACGAGGAUCAAGAUAUGGCAAGAAUUUUAGCAAUAACAACCCAGCACAUACCCAAAUCACACUAUCCGAUUAAGGCAGUGAUUAGCAACAUACCUAGUGUGCCCUCACAACAAAGAAAUCCCUUUUUCACUCAUGUCAGAAUUUACAUACGUAAACACAGGGAUAAACACAAAACUCACUCUCAGAAAGAAGUUCCAACAUUUCGUACCAAAUGCCAUAGGCUUGCCCCUAUAAUCAGUACCCAAGUUAUCAGACAGGUCAGUUAGGAUCACUAUAGGGCUUUUCUAAAGCUUGUAACGUAGGUUAGGGGCUGGUAUGAUAUUCAUGGAUAUUUAAGAGUGACUAUGCCUCCUUGAAACUACACUAAACUCUUGGGGUUUCAACUCCCAACCUUCUUUUCUUCCUCUCUUUUAUUUAUCACACAUGCUCAAGAUGGAUGCGGUCUUUUCAAUUAUCACAUUAUCUUUUUAUCAUCUUUUACACUACUUUCUCAUUUCUUAUUCUUUUCUUUUAUUCUUCCUCUCUUCAUACUCAUUUUGUAUCACGCACCCCUAUAAUAGCCACCCUCAACUUAGGCGGUUUGCCUAAGUCAAGGUGCAUAGUGUCCAAGGAGGACCAGGGCCAAAACAGGUUCAUUAUGAUGUAAACGGGAAGGUGAGAGGUAUCGUAGAAAGAAAUAGGCUAAUUAGGCUCAAAACAGGAAUCAAGAGAUAUUAUGCACAUAGGGAAGAUCAUUUUGGCUAAAGUGGGAUAAAAUAAAAAAAAGGGCAUAUGAUCCUUUCCUAACUCCUAUCCUAUGACCAUGACAAGACUAACAGGGCAAGUUCUAGAUUCAACACACAACGGGAACUGAGUAAGACCUUACACACACAAGGCACUCAAGUAUCUCGCAUAUCACUACUUAUCCAGUUCAUGUACUUGUUUAACAAAGGUUAUUCAGUUGCCAGACUAAUGCCACAAAAAGAUACAUCGUGGUCACAAAUGGAUGCAAUUCACAUAGUAAUAUAUCAGACCAAUGGAGAGGUGCUCAAAAAUCACAAAAACGAGUUAACUGCCUUAGUUACUUAUAUUUCUCCUAGUUAACUACAACACAUCACAAAACAAGCGUAAUACGCCUAAACAUGCCGGAUCUAUUAGGAACAAUACUCUAGGGAAAAGAGGCACGGCAACAAAAACUCCAGGAGGACAUCAACACCUACAAGUAGCCCCAACACCCUCAACUUAAAACCAUGCAAUGUCCUCAAUGCGUCAAACUAAAACAAGAGAGUUAGAAACAUACCUGUGGAACCAUGGGUGCGAUGUCAAUCACAUAAUACGAAUACAAACAACAAAAUACCUUGGGUUGCCUCCCAAGAAGCGCCUAAUUUAGUGUCGCGGCAUGACAACAUCCAGUCAUCUUUUAUUCCUCUACUUUGAAGAUUUAAAUUGUCGGCCCAUCUUUUUAUCUUUACAUCUUUUAGGUCCAUUGGGCAAAUGUGAGGGCAUGAUAAGGAAUGUUCUAUCACGCCACUUCGAAGACUUGAACCGCUUGCUCAAUUUUGCAUCGAACUUUCGUGUGGGCUCAUUAGGCAACGAUAAGGAUCUUAAAAAGCUACUAAAUGGAUAUCGAUUUUUAAGCUUCUUGGCCUUCAAGACUGGGGUUGUAGUAUACCCUUUUAGAAAGAUAAACUCCAAAAUAUAAGAAUUUUCCUCCUCAUUUUCAAAAUUCAUCAUUUGCUCGGGUGGUUCGACUUUCAUCACAUCCACCAAGCAUAAUGUUGAAAAGUGGUUUGAAUGAGGACUGACUCUCAAUUCUGGAGUAGCGUCUCUAUUAGUAUCUUUACCCCAAAAUGGACUAGAGUCUUCACAAAGAUUGUUCUUGAUUUCUUCUUUUAAUUUUAGUACCAUUUCCUCAUCUUUGGCAUCUUCGUUCAUAAAUGGUUUGGUUGGUUGGGAAAUCUCCAAUGGAAGAUCAACAUCAAGCACAUCAUCAAUAUAGGAUUCUUGCUCCUCAUCUUCGCACUCUCUCAUUAUGUUAAAUGAUUCUACAGGCAAGAUAUCAUCUAAACAUAAUAUAAAAGAAUAUUUUGAAUAAUUGACCUCUAUAUCCAUCUCCUCAUGAAUAAUCGGCAUCAUGUCUUCACGCAUAUCACAUACGAUAUCAUAUGUUUCUUUCUGGAGAUCCAACAUUCGUUGAAACAUAGCUUCAAUGCCACUCUUACCGGUGCUUCGUUCUUUUUUUCUUGAUCAUAAGACCUAUUAAACUCAUAAGAAGAACUAGAAUUUGGGUUAGCGCAAUAGGGGGAGGGGGCAUUUGGGCAAUCACUCCAAUGUCCAUCUCGACCACCACAUAAAGAACAAUCAUACUCCUGGUAGGAUGGAGAUGGUACACACAUCUCUCCCUGGAGAGCAUAUCUACAAUCUUUCCAAAAGUGAGGUCCAUCACAAUAUGGACAUGGAUCAUCAAGAUAAGAUUUUCAACCACCAAGCUCAUGUUCAUUCCACGAUGUCAUAGUAAUAAGUAAACUAAAAUAAAAAUCUACCUAACACAAGAAAUAAAAGAAAACUAAAAAAAAAUAUUUACAAGUUUGAAUUCAAGCUAGUAGGCUAAAAUUCCAAACCAACUCAAUACGCCAAAUUGUUCCCCGGUAACGGCGCCAUUUUUGAUACGCUCAAAUUACACUCUUGAAUGGGUGUAAGCGAUCAUUGUCAAUAUAAAACUCAACUAGGUUAGGGUCGAAUCCCACAGGGAACAAUAUGAGUGGCGAUUAAACUAGUUUGAAACUAAAGCUACAAGUUAAAUUCAAACAAACGAUAUAAAAAGAUAAAAUGGGGGUUUUAGAGAUUAGCAAAUAAUUUUUGGUCACUUUAAUUUCAGUGUUUGUUAAUCAAGAUUUUAUGAAAUAAUCAGGAUUAUGUUCACUAGGGCUUACGGUACAUGACAGAUGCUAAAAUUUACUCAAGACUCUCACGGUAGUUAGGAUCACAAGCUAUCUUUAUCGAUGAUAUGCUUAAAUGUCUCUAGACCUAUUCAAGAGUCUAAUUUCCUAAUUCUCUCGGACUUAGGGAAUCGCUAUGCAUUGUCCAGAUUUUACCUUAGGUAAAUCAACCUUGUUAUAGCGUUGAUUAUUAAAUGAAGUUUUUUCGAGUCCCUGUUGAUAAUUCACUUCUUACUAUUUAUGAUUUUUUUCUCAAGAAAACCAAAGUAGGUACGCCUACUGUUUGCAACAAACAGACGUAAAUUAUAAUCUCAGAAUUACCAAGAAAUCCUAACACCUAUUAAAUCUUAAGUAUUUAACACCUUAUCAUGACCUAACCCUAGAUCCCAUGAUCCAGGUUACAGGUGUUUAGCCACUCAUGAUACAAGAAACAAGUAUGCAAAUUGAAUUCAUAACUGAAAGGAUUAACUUACAAUGAUGAAGAAAAUCAAAAGUCUACUUUGAAUUGAAUCACAGUGCAAAACUCCAAAAUAUUAGUUUUUGAGAGAGAGAGAGAGAAAUAUCGUAUAUUGUAUCUUGUAGGAUAUGUCCAAUCCUUAAUGAUCGAAUGAAUAAAAAAAACUAAAACAAGGCUUUAAAUAGUUAACCCUAAAUAAGAAAAUAAAAUUAAAGUUCAGAUUUUCUUCAGAAUAGAUGACGGCGCUCGUGAUGGCCUAUCAAGAGUUAGACGACCUAUCACGGACGUCGUCAGUUUCUCUGCAAGUUUAGCUUCUGCUGCCUAAAGUUGACGACGACGGUGAUGCCUUAUCAUCACCUUGACGGUGUGUAAUGAAUGUCGUCACAAAACUUUCUGCAACUUUCAUCUUCUGUUUAAGGUUGACGGCAUCCUUGACAGCCUAUCACCAGGCUGACGACGUGUCAUGGAUGUCGUCAGCCACACUUUGUUCUUUAUUUUCUUUUGAUUUCAUGUUUUUUGCUUCCUUUAUUUGUGGUUCCCCUUCUACUCUACUUAUACUGCAAAAUCAAAGUAAACUAAUCAAAAAACGACUAAAGUUACUCAAGACUUUGCAAUUAUUUAGAAAGCUGUAAAUGUGUUAGCAUGGGCUCACACAUCAACCUACACUGGGGUCCACUAACAAGGCUGUUCGGGGGAGUAUAUGGUCGAUAGUGGCUGUGAGAGCUUUCCACCCACUCCAUACACCUGACAGCUCCCCUUCCUAAAAUAAGGGUGACUCAAUUAGAGGUCAUGUACACACGUGCACUACGAAUUUGUUGCGAAAAAAAUGACUCGGGUUAUGCACAUAAUGCCAGAUAUAAAGUGGUAACACAUAAUAAAAACUAUAAACAUGCAACACAUAGGUAAUCAACAAUGAUAAAAUAAAUACAAACGAUAACACAAACAAUGUUUAUACACACAUAAUUUCAAACUAUGCCGAUACAACUCCAAAAGUAAGCUCGGAUUCUGAAAAUUUCUCCAGCAGAGUCGUCAAUGCUGUCACCCCCUUUUUUAACCAAAAAGAUGGAUUUUAAUGUUUGAAAAGGUUUUAUUAUCUAAGUGACAAAAGAUUUAAAAUUUAUUUCAAAAAAAAGAUUAUUUACAUUUUUUAUUCAGAGUCGCCACUUGACAUAAGCCGGUGUGCCAAGUCACCUUUGAAAAAUUCUUUUCAAAACUUUGACUCUUUAAAACUGGUUUGCUAACAGAGAUUCCAAGUAAUGAAUUCUGUUGAUCGAGGCGAAGGUGUUAGGCACCCCUCGAUCCCGUGGUUCGGCCACGGUCUCUUGGUGAAUUAUAUCGGCUCGUAAGACACUAUGAAUAUAUAAACCCAUAAAAACACAUAAAAGAAUCAAACAAACACAUCAAACACAAUCCAAAACCACAAUAAUAACGUUCAGUCCAAUUAUACAGUCCAAAAUAGUCCUAUUCUAAACUAGUCCUAAACUAAGCUCCACCCGACGCCUCGGGCCUUCGUCACGAACAUCUUUCAGGUACAAAAUACUUCGGGGCAUUCUCCGACCAGAUGAUACAUUUGAUCAAGCACGAUAAACUAGAAAACAUUCAACACACAUUCCACAUUCAAACAUUCAACAAAACACUUAUUCCUAAAUUUUUCCUACCCGAACCUAUACUUGUCUAUUCAUUUCAACAUGUCAUAAUUCUAUCACGUUCCAACGACAAUCAUGCUUAUUCCGAAUUAAACAAAACAACAAUAAAUCAAAAUUGAUCUAUGUUCACCCUUUUUAUCAAUUUCACAAUUCUACCCCAUCUAACUUCAUUUUUUAUCAAUCACACUAUCAAAACUACUCAAAUUCGUUUCACAUAUCACCAAAAUCACAUCAUCAAGCACAUAAUCAUAACAUUAACAAAAUCCAACAAUCAUAAUCACCCCACACAUAAUCACAACAUCGAUGCCAAAUUAAAAGAAAUAAGGAGUAAGAGUUAUAGAGAUGGACCUUCCGAAUGCUCUCAAUUGAUUAAGAAGAGAAUAAAAGCGGUCCUGAAACCUAGAAGAAUACCACAAUCUCAAUCCCGAACCAGUAAUUGGACUGGUUUAAAACUGUGAUGAAAUUGAAUUUUGAUUCAAACCAAGGAAACCUUGAAGAGUCAAUGAAUACCCGAAACCAAAACUCAAAAAAAAAAUGAGAAUCCGUAUGACAAUUUCGACGAGACUUUAAUGGAGUCGGAGUAAACUGUCGACUUUUCUGACUUGUCGACUGGACUGAUGUUUUCAGGCUGGAUUUCACCAGAGAAACCAAAAAAAAUGAGAAAAGUGUCUGGGGAUUUCAAUAUUGGGACAAAUUUAAGCUCGGGAUACUUGAACUUGACUAGAAAAUACCGUUUCCGGCGACCCCUGGUGUUUUUUGGUCAGAUUCCGGUGCUAAUUUUGGUGGGAUUGCGCCGAUUUCGUUGUUUAUUUGCCAAAUCUCUCAAAAUCCUUUCAUUCUUUCGAUUCUCUCCCUCUCUCUGCUUUGCUCUCUCUCUUCGUUACUCUCUCUUUCUCUCCGUUACUCUCUUUGUGUGUGUGAGUAUAUGUGUAUGUCUUUAUUCACUGGUUGUGUUGUGUGUGUGUAAUGUAUUGUAGUAUGUGUUAGUGGGUGUGUAUUGAAUAAAUGGAGGAGUGUGUAGGUGUCCAUUAAUGGUGGAGAGAUAGUUUGUGAGUAUAUUCUUGAAAGUGUUUUCUUUUUUGAGAAAGAAGAUGAUGAGUGUUUUCAAUGAAAAUUUCCUCUUCUUUUUGGCCCUCUGUGUCUAUGUGUAUAUCCUCUCCUUUCUUUGUGAAAAGAAACGUGGGGGUGGGGGGGG